rnacentral:rRNA from 1 species
AAUCAACGCUGGCGGCGUGCCUAACACAUGCAAGUCGCGCGCGAAAGGGGGGCAACCCCCGAGUAAAGCGGCGAACGGGUGAGUAACACGUGGGUAAUCUACCUUCGAGUGGGGAACAACAUCGGGAAACUGGUGCUAAUUCCGCAUGACCAUCGUCGGGGCUUCGGUUCUGACGAUCAAAGCUGGGAUCGUAAGACCUAGCGCUUGAAGAUGAGCCCGCGUCCGAUUAGCUAGUUGGCGGGGUAAUGGCCCACCAAGGCUCCGAUCGGUAGCCGGCCUGAGAGGGCGGACGGCCACACUGGAACUGAGACACGGUCCAGACUCCUACGGGAGGCAGCAGUGGGGAAUUUUUCGCAAUGGGGGCAACCCUGACGAAGCAACGCCGCGUGGGGAUGAAGGUCUUCGGAUUGUAAACCCCUGUCGACUGGGACGAAUGUAGACGGCCUAAUACGCCGAGCUAUUGACUGUACCGGUGGAGGAAGCCACGGCUAACUCUGUGCCAGCAGCCGCUA